AGAGUUUGAUCCUGGCUCAGGACGAACGCUGGCGGCGUGCCUAAUACAUGCAAGUAGAACGCUGAAGAGAGGAGCUUGCUCUUCUUGGAUGAGUUGCGAACGGGUGAGUAACGCGUAGGUAACCUGCCUUGUAGCGGGGGAUAACUAUUGGAAACGAUAGCUAAUACCGCAUAACAAUGGAUGACACAUGUCAUUUAUUUGAAAGGGGCAAUUGCUCCACUACAAGAUGGACCUGCGUUGUAUUAGCUAGUAGGUGAGGUAAUGGCUCACCUAGGCGACGAUACAUAGCCGACCUGAGAGGGUGAUCGGCCACACUGGGACUGAGACACGGCCCAGACUCCUACGGGAGGCAGCAGUAGGGAAUCUUCGGCAAUGGGGGCAACCCUGACCGAGCAACGCCGCGUGAGUGAAGAAGGUUUUCGGAUCGUAAAGCUCUGUUGUAAGUCAAGAACGGGUGUGAGAGUGGAAAGUUCACACUGUGACGGUAGCUUACCAGAAAGGGACGGCUAACUACGUGCCAGCAGCCGCGGUAAUACGUAGGUCCCGAGCGUUGUCCGGAUUUAUUGGGCGUAAAGCGAGCGCAGGCGGUUUGAUAAGUCUGAAGUUAAAGGCUGUGGCUCAACCAUAGUUCGCUUUGGAAACUGUCAAACUUGAGUGCAGAAGGGGAGAGUGGAAUUCCAUGUGUAGCGGUGAAAUGCGUAGAUAUAUGGAGGAACACCGGUGGCGAAAGCGGCUCUCUGGUCUGUAACUGACGCUGAGGCUCGAAAGCGUGGGGAGCGAACAGGAUUAGAUACCCUGGUAGUCCACGCCGUAAACGAUGAGUGCUAGGUGUUGGAUCCUUUCCGGGAUUCAGUGCCGAAGCUAACGCAUUAAGCACUCCGCCUGGGGAGUACGACCGCAAGGUUGAAACUCAAAGGAAUUGACGGGGGCCCGCACAAGCGGUGGAGCAUGUGGUUUAAUUCGAAGCAACGCGAAGAACCUUACCAGGUCUUGACAUCCCGAUGCUAUUUCUAGAGAUAGAAAGUUACUUCGGUACAUCGGUGACAGGUGGUGCAUGGUUGUCGUCAGCUCGUGUCGUGAGAUGUUGGGUUAAGUCCCGCAACGAGCGCAACCCCUAUUGUUAGUUGCCAUCAUUCAGUUGGGCACUCUAGCGAGACUGCCGGUAAUAAACCGGAGGAAGGUGGGGAUGACGUCAAAUCAUCAUGCCCCUUAUGACCUGGGCUACACACGUGCUACAAUGG
rnacentral:rRNA from 1 species